rnacentral:hammerhead_ribozyme from 1 species
GUACUGAUGAAGAGUCCUAGAUUAGAACGAAACAGCUGUCCAGUAC